CAUUUUGUUUUCAUCCCAAUCGACCGUUACAUAUACAAAAUUGUGUUGAGUUCUCUUCUUCACUAUCAUUCUCACAAACACUCUUCUCAAAGCGAUGAAGAUGAGUCUUUUCUCUCUCUGCAAAACCUUCAAUUUCUCAUAAAUGCAGAGAAUGACAAAGAUGACGAUGGCGAAAAUAAAAUUGCUGAGAGACAAGAGGGAGGUAGUUUUGAGGCAAAUGAGAAGAUACAUUGGUUCGGAUGUUACUGCUCGUAUUCAGCAACCCAAAGGGCUAAAAAGAAGAUUUUGUUGGUCUCUAGAAGUCUGAUAAUAAUUCAGCAGCAGCAGGACUGACUGUUUUUGGAACAAAAGUGCAGAUUCUUUCAAAUUUUAUAUGACAUGAUAUACUAUGAUUCAAAAGAUAAAAGGGGUAAUGUUUCCUAUCUAGUAAAAUUUAUUCAAAUUAUUUAAUUUAGUAUAAUGAUUUGUCAAGUUGGUGUGUUGUCAUAAUUUUUUCAUUUCCAUUAUUCUUUAUCUAUACUGCUUUGAACUAUUUUUCUCUUGAGUUGAGACUCUAUCGAAAAUGACUUCUCUACUUGGGUAGAAAUAAAAUCUAGGUAAACUUUCUCUAGUCCCGACUUUAUGUUGUUAUUGAAAAGGGUUGGUUGACAGUCUUCAGGACCUGCAAUUUACUACAAAUUGAGUUUGUGAAAAAAAAGUGUGAAUGUGAAGUAAAAGACAAAAUAAAUUUAUUAAAAUCUUA